rnacentral:rRNA from 1 species
UUGAAGAGUUUGAUCAUGGCUCAGAUUGAACGCUGGCGGCAUGGCUAAAACAUGCAAGUCGUACGAUUCCUUCGGGAAGAGUGGCGAAAGGGCGAGGAAUAUAAUCGAAUGUGUCCUAAGGUUGAGGAUAGCUUCUGGAAACGGAAGGUAAUACUCAAUGUCCUCUACGGAGAAAAGGUUUACCGCCUUUGGAGCAGCGAUUAUCCUAUCAGGUAGUUGGUGAGGUAAAGGCUCACCAAGCCGAAGACGGGUAGCGGGUGUGAGAGCAUGACCCGCCGCAUCGGGACUGAGACACUGCCCGGACUCCUACGGGAGGCUGCAGUAACGAAUCUUCCGCAAUGGGCGAAAGCCUGACGGAGCAAUGCCGCGUGUGGGAUUAAGCAUCUUCGAUGUGUAAACCACUGUCAGAAUAUAGAAAUACUGAUCAUAUUCAGAGGAAGGACCGGCUAAUUCAGUGCCAGCAGCCGCGGUAAUACUGAAGGUCCGAGCGUUAUUCGGAAUCACUGGGCUUAAAGCGUACGCAGGCGGAUUUGUAGGUAUCUUGUGAAAUCCCACGGCUCAACCGUGGAACUGCAGGGUAAACCACAAAUCUUGAGACAAGUAGGGGUUAGUGGAACGAUAUGUGGAGCGGUGAAAUGCGUAGAUAUAUAUCGGAACGCCAAUGGCGAAGGCAGCUAACUGGGCUUGUUCUGACGCUCAGGUACGAAAGCGUGGGUAGCGAACGGGAUUAGAUACCCCGGUAGUCCACGCCGUA